GUCGAACGAGAAAUCGGGCACUCAGGCAACUGAGUGCCGGAGAGUAAAGUGGCGCACGGGUGAGUAACACGUGGGUAACCUACCCCCGAAUCUGGGAUAACUUCGCGAAAGCGUUGCUAAUACCGGAUAUUGUCCUAUUGGUUGUGACCUUUGGGAUGAAAGGCAACCUCUUCAUGAAAGUUGUCGUUCAGGGAUGGGCCCGCGUACCAUUAGCUUGUUGGUGGGGUAACGGCCCACCAAGGCUACGAUGGUUAGCUGGUCUGAGAGGAUGAUCAGCCACACUGGAACUGAAACACGGUCCAGACUCCUACGGGAGGCAGCAGUGAGGAAUUUUGCGCAAUGGGGGAAACCCUGACGCAGCAACGCCGCGUGAGUGAAGAAGGCUUUCGGGUCGUAAAGCUCUGUCAAGUGGGAAAAAAGUCUGAUGAUUAAUAGUUGUCAGAUCUGAUGGUACCACUGGAGGAAGCACCGGCUAACUCCGUGCCAGCAGCCGCGGUAAUACGGAGGGUGCAAGCGUUGUUCGGAAUUACUGGGCGUAAAGGGCGUGCAGGCGGGUUGGUAAGUCAGAUGUGAAAGCCCUGGGCUUAACCCAGGAAGUGCAUUUGAAACUGCCAUCCUAGAGUAU
rnacentral:rRNA from 1 species